CACGUGAGUAACCUGCCCCAGACUCUGGGAUAACCCCGGGAAACCGGAGCUAAUACCGGAUAUGACACCAGGUCGCAUGGCCAUGGUGUGGAAAGUUUUUCGGUCUGGGAUGGACUCGCGGCCUAUCAGCUUGUUGGUGAGGUAGUGGCUCACCAAGGCGACGACGGGUAGCCGGCCUGAGAGGGCGACCGGCCACACUGGGACUGAGACACGGCCCAGACUCCUACGGGAGGCAGCAGUGGGGAAUAUUGCACAAUGGGCGAAAGCCUGAUGCAGCGACGCCGCGUGAGGGAUGACGGC
rnacentral:rRNA from 1 species